AGGGGAUGGAGGACACAUUAAAAACAUAGUUGAAAUCUUCAUCAUGGCAAGAUUGAAUCAAGUUUGUUCGUUCAUAAUUGUUUUAUUGGUUAAUAAAGUUUCUAUUAAAGUAAUUCAAGGAGGCGAAUUGGGCCAUUUGUCUCUGAUUACACCAGCAUUUGUCGGCAGAGACGUUAUACUGCAGUUAAAACUCAAUGAUGAAGAAUCAAAUAUAGACAUUAAAGACUUGAACUUAUGCGUUCAGUUAGAAAAUGAGACUAUUGCUUGUAAAUCCAAAGAGGAUUAUCGUAUUCUUUUUGCAAGACAAUUGUGUGCGAUCAUUGUGGAACUACCUACGGCAAAACCGAUAUGGAAACCGGUGAAAGUGAGUUUGAAGGCAUAUACUAAAGAGACAAACAUGGUUUCUCUGGAUUUGCAAGAAUUCCAGAGUGGAUGCGGUUAUUUGUACAUAUCGUCUAUAUCCACUAACGCUGCCGAAAUUACAUACUAUCCUACUCAAGAUGUGCUGGAUAACCCCGGUG